rnacentral:sRNA from 1 species
CGCUUGGGCCUGUUGGGGGCUGAUGAAGUGAAUGUGCGUGUCGAUGCCGCCGGGCGUCAGGAUCAGAUGCGAUCCCGAGAUCGCAUCGGUGGCGAGCCCGAUCUCGAGGCCGGGCGUGAUCCGGUCCAUCGUCUGGCGAUUGCCGGCCUUGCCAAUGGCACAGAUGCGGCCGUCCUUGAUCCCGAUAUCGGCUUUCACCACACCGAGGACGGCGUCGACGAUGGUCACGUUGGUAAUCACCAGAUCGGGGGCGCCGUUUGCUCGCGUCACCUGGUUGUCCAUGCCCAUGCCUUCGCG